GAUGAAGAACGCAGCGAAAUGCGAUAAGUAAUGUGAAUUGCAGAAUUCAGUGAAUCAUCGAAUCUUUGAACGCACAUUGCGCCCAUUAGUAUUCUAGUGGGCAUGCCUGUUCGAGCGUCAUUUCAACCCUUAAGCCUAGCUUAGUAUUGGGAAUCGACUUUACUGUCGUUCUUCAAAUUCAACGGCGGAUUUAUAGCAAUCUCUGAACGUAGUAAUUUUUUUUCUCGUUUUUGAAAUACUAUAAACCUCAGCCGCUAAACCCCCAAUUUCUUAUGGUUGACCUCGGAUCAGGUAGGAAUACCCGCUGAACUUAAGCAUAUCAAUAAGCGGAGGA
rnacentral:misc_RNA from 1 species